CGAGUAGCUCAGCUUGGUAGAGCACUUGGUUUGGGACCAAGGGGUCGCAGGUUCGAAUCCUGUCUUCCCGA
rnacentral:tRNA from 1 species